UGUUUUGGAAUUUAAUGUGAAGCGAGGGGGUCUUUAUUAGAAAAGAAAAAGAAAAGAGAACGAUAAUGGUUAAAUAAUAAUAUUAAUUUAUCUUUAUAAUUUUACAUCGAUUUCUGUGUGUUCCUUCUCCUUCCUUAUUCUUCCUCAUUCCCUAACUGCCCUCUGCUUUUUUUUGUCUUCUUUUUCCGUUCACCUUCAACAGCCGCUCGCGUCACGUGUCGUUCGCAUCCCGUCUCAGAUAAAACCCAGCCGAAAAGUCCGACUUUGUUCGCUUCACCUCUUUAUUUCACGUCGUCGUGCUUGUUGCUGCUUCGGUCGAUCUCCAUUCGUGAACCACAGCUGCCGCAUCCUUCAUCCGCCGACAGUGAAGCGCUAGCCGUCGGUGGUCCAUCGCAAACCCAAGCCCGACCUGAGCCGAAGCCAUUAGAUCCAAUUCGCAUGAAAAAAAUUCAUCUUCCAGACGUGGGUUGCAACCGGACGUCGUUUGGUCGUUUUGCCACGAAAAGUAUUGGGUUAUGGUGGUAAGUGAUAUUGUUUCUUGAAGGUGUCAAUUGUGGAUAGUGUUUGAAUUUCUUGAGUUCACCAAAGUUUGGUUGGAGUUCAAUUCUCCAUUGCAUUGGGUAAGUUAUGGAAUCUGCAAUGGUGAGUAAAAAGGAUGUUAAUAUUUAAGAAAGCAUUGAUUUUCUGUUCAUUUAUGUUUAGGAUUUGGAUCGUUGGACUUUAGUUCGAUCAAGAAGAUUAGGUAACCUUAAGGCAAAGGUAAUACAAGAGGUAGACCGACGAGGGACAAGAAUGACAUGUGAUCGUUAUAGGGGAACAUUCCUUCAAAAUUGCUUCUGCUUAGUGUUUUUACUGUUUUUCAGUUUUCAGGAUUUAAAAUGAGUUUCAUGUUUAGAACGGUUUGUUUCUAAGUGAUUUAUAAACGAUACUUUAGAAAUUUUAUUUUGUUUAAAAUAGGGCAUGAAUAAAGCUUCUUUGACUUUCUUUAUCGUUUCAAAUAAAAGUUUACUAUGUCUAUUUUUUGUUA